AAGUAAAAGUCGUAACAAGGUCUCCGUUGGUGAACCAGCGGAGGGAUCAUUACUGAGUUUACGCUCUACAACCCUUUGUGAACAUACCUACAACUGUUGCUUCGGCGGGUAGGGUCUCCGCGACCCUCCCGGCCUCCCGCCUCCGGGCGGGUCGGCGCCCGCCGGAGGAUAACCAAACUCUGAUUUAACGACGUUUCUUCUGAGUGGUACAAGCAAAUAAUCAAAACUUUUAACAACGGAUCUCUUGGUUCUGGCAUCGAUGAAGAACGCAGCGAAAUGCGAUAAGUAAUGUGAAUUGCAGAAUUCAGUGAAUCAUCGAAUCUUUGAACGCACAUUGCGCCCGCCAGCAUUCUGGCGGGCAUGCCUGUUCGAGCGUCAUUUCAACCCUCAAGCUCUGCUUGGUGUUGGGGCCCUACAGCCGAUGUAGGCCCUCAAAGGUAGUGGCGGACCCUCCCGGAGCCUCCUUUGCGUAGUAACUUUACGUCUCGCACUGGGAUCCGGAGGGACUCUUGCCGUAAAACCCCCCAAUUUUCCAAAGGUUGACCUCGGAUCAGGUAGGAAUACCCGCUGAACUUAAGCAUAUC
rnacentral:rRNA from 1 species